GCGGCCAUGCUCUCCACAGGCUUUCUUGAACUGUGAACUCGCGCGCGUGCGCCGCCGGCCUGCUACUUCUCGCUUCGAUCUUGUCUGCCUAGCUUGUUCAUGGUUCAAGAAAGUCCUUGGAAAACAUGCCCGCCUCUCUCCUCUUCCUCCGGCAAUUCCACACGGAUCCA
rnacentral:pre_miRNA from 1 species